rnacentral:rRNA from 1 species
UACAGAGGCCCCAAGCGUUGUUCGGAUUCACUGGGCGUAAAGGGUGCGUAGGUGGUGAGGUAAGUCGGAUGUGAAAUCUCCGGGCUCAACCCGGAAAUGGCAUUGGAAACUACCUUGCUUGAGGAUUUGAGGGGGGAUUGGAAUACUUGGUGUAGCAGUGAAAUGCGUAGAUAUCAAGUGGAACACCAGUGGCGAAGGCGAAUCCCUGGAAAAUACCUGACACUGAGGCACGAAAGCUAGGGGAGCAAACAGG